UUCCUUCGAAUCCCGGAGAGGGAUUCCUUCGAAUCCCUGAGAGGGAUUCCUUUGAAUUCCUUCGAAUCCCGGAGAGGGAUUCCUUCGAAUCCCGGAGAGGGAUUCCUUCGAAUCCCUGAGAGGGAUUCCUUUGAAUCCCUGAGAGGGAUUCCUUCGAAUCCCUAAGAGGGAUUCUCUCGAAUCCCGGAGAGGGAUUUUCUCGAAUUUAUGGGGUCACAUUCUUGUGAUACAGACGUUGAGAAUUUCUAAGACUAACUAGAAUCACCUGAUGGAUAAACCUAGGAUCAAGUAGGUCAUCAUCGGAUAGCUCUUGGAGUUCUGAUCGCCUUUAUCGAAAAGCCAAACUUCAACUGACCAGUUUUGUAAAUUCUGCAUAAAAUAAUGUUUCUUUCCGUCUCUGAGUAAAGUAAUACUUCCCAUCAAAUCGAACACGAUACACCAUCGGUGAUCAAAACAAGACUUGAAGGAGCAACUUUUUAAAGUCAAGUGGGUACACACAGCAGUCAGCCAGUUGUACGACUAUUACGACGCGAUGGCAGCAAUCCAGUCGCAGUGUGGCUCUGGUGGUGCGUUAUUUAUUGUCUUGAGGUCUCAAGUGUUGAACGAGCGAGCGGUACGAGCACUCAGAAUACAGAAGAAAUCAACAAAAAUAUCGAAUUUGAUACAAAACAAAAAACAAACGAACAAGGAGUGUUUUGGCUGCUGACGAAAGACGAUAGUCCCUGGCUGAUGGAUGGGAGUUGUGACAACCCGAUCAAAUGAGAAUGACAACAUUUGAACAGGGCAUAGCUGUCAACCGUUCCUCGUUACAUCCCCUUGAGAAUGGCCUUAUAAAUGAGCCGAAACGUCGGAUAAAGGAAAACUCACCGGUUUGAAUAUCCCAAGACUGAAGAAGCCAAUUUUUCAAAAAAAAAAGUAAAAGAACCUUUGUUACUCGAAUUGUAACACAUUAUAGUAUCAAUUUGUAUCAGUUUAUACCAAGCCUGUAAAAAAAACUAAAAAAAGGUGCUGUCAAAAUUUAAACUGUAAUUGGUAUAGUUGUGUUAUAUUCCUGUUAUGUUAAUUUUAUCGGGUAUACGAUAAUGCGGCAUUCCCGAACGAAAAAAGAUUCAAGAGAACGAUCAAGACGGAUUUAUUGUAGUGAACGUAAAUUCAAGAGGUAGCAUGUGCAAUACUGACCGUCAACGUGAGACGCAAAUAGAAUAGGAUUAAUAAAAAAGAUAAAACCGAAAAAAA